GCGAGCUUCAAAACAUGCCAGAGCCUACAACUUCUCAUUCGCCACUUCGCAAUUUGCGGUCGGAAGCAAGGCUGCACCCGCUGCAAGUGGAUGUGGCAGCUCCUCCGUCUCCACUCCUCGAUUUGUGUCCAACUUGACUACUGCAAAGUCCCGCUUUGCAGGCAGUUCAGAAUAAGUUCUCAACAAAUGGAUGGGAAAGGAGA
rnacentral:misc_RNA from 1 species